UACAGAGGUCUCAAGCGUUGUUCGGAUUCAUUGGGCGUAAAGGGCGCGUAGGCGGCGGGGUAAGUCGGGUGUGAAAUCUCAGAGCUCAACUCUGAAACUGCACUCGAUACUGCUCUGCUUGAGGACUGGAGAGGAGACUGGAAUUCACGGUGUAGCAGUGAAAUGCGUAGAUAUCGUGAGGAGACCAGUGGCGAAGGCGGGUUCGCUGGACAGUUCCUGACGCUUGA
rnacentral:rRNA from 1 species